rnacentral:rRNA from 1 species
GAUGAACGCUAGCUACAGGCUUAACACAUGCAAGUCGAGGGGCAGCAUGGUCUUAGCUUGCUAAGGCCGAUGGCGACCGGCGCACGGGUGAGUAACACGUAUCCAACCUGCCGUCUACUCUUGGACAGCCUUCUGAAAGGAAGAUUAAUACAAGAUGGCAUCAUGAGUCCACAUGUUCACAUGAUUAAAGGUAUUCCGGUAGACGAUGGGGAUGCGUUCCAUUAGAUAGUAGGCGGGGUAACGGCCCACCUAGUCUUCGAUGGAUAGGGGUUCUGAGAGGAAGGUCCCCCACAUUGGAACUGAGACACGGUCCAAACUCCUACGGGAGGCAGCAGUGAGGAAUAUUGGUCAAUGGGCGAGAGCCUGAACCAGCCAAGUAGCGUGAAGGAUGACUGCCCUAUGGGUUGUAAACUUCUUUUAUAAAGGAAUAAAGUCGGGUAUGGAUACCCGUUUGCAUGUACUUUAUGAAUAAGGAUCGGCUAACUCCGUGCCAGCAGCCGCGGUAAUACGGAGGAUCCGAGCGUUAUCCGGAUUUAUUGGGUUUAAAGGGAGCGUAGAUGGAUGUUUAAGUCAGUUGUGAAAGUUUGCGGCUCAACCGUAAAAUUGCAGUUGAUACUGGAUAUCUUGAGUGCAGUUGAGGCAGGCGGAAUUCGUGGUGUAGCGGUGAAAUGCUUAGAUAUCACGAAGAACUCCGAUUGCGAAGGCAGCCUGCUAAGCUGCAACUGACAUUGAGGCUCGAAAGUGUGGGUAUCAAACAGGAUUAGAUACCCUGGUAGUCCACACGGUAAACGAUGAAUACUCGCUGUUUGCGAUAUACAGCAAGCGGCCAAGCGAAAGCGUUAAGUAUUCCACCUGGGGAGUACGCCGGCAACGGUGAAACUCAAAGGAAUUGACGGGGGCCCGCACAAGCGGAGGAACAUGUGGUUUAAUUCGAUGAUACGCGAGGAACCUUACCCGGGCUUAAAUUGCAGAUGAAUUACGGUGAAAGCCGUAAGCCGCAAGGCAUCUGUGAAGGUGCUGCAUGGUUGUCGUCAGCUCGUGCCGUGAGGUGUCGGCUUAAGUGCCAUAACGAGCGCAACCCUUGUUGUCAGUUACUAACAGGUUCCGCUGAGGACUCUGACAAGACUGCCAUCGUAAGAUGUGAGGAAGGUGGGGAUGACGUCAAAUCAGCACGGCCCUUACGUCCGGGGCUACACACGUGUUACAAUGGGGGGUACAGAGGGCCGCUACCACGCGAGUGGAUGCCAAUCCCAAAAACCUCUCCCAGUUCGGACUGGAGUCUGCAACCCGACUCCACGAAGCUGGAUUCGCUAGUAAUCGCGCAUCAGCCACGGCGCGGUGAAUACGUUCCCGGGCCU